AAGUCGAACGAGUUCUCGUUGAUGAUCGGUGCUUGCACCGAGAUUCAACAUGGAACGAGUGGCGGACGGGUGAGUAACACGUGGGUAACCUGCCCUUAAGUGGGGGAUAACAUUUGGAAACAGAUGCUAAUACCGCAUAGAUCCAAGAACCGCAUGGUUCUUGGCUGAAAGAUGGCGUAAGCUAUCGCUUUUGGAUGGACCCGCGGCGUAUUAGCUAGUUGGUGAGGUAAUGGCUCACCAAGGCGAUGAUACGUAGCCGAACUGAGAGGUUGAUCGGCCACAUUGGGACUGAGACACGGCCCAAACUCCUACGGGAGGCAGCAGUAGGGAAUCUUCCACAAUGGACGCAAGUCUGAUGGAGCAACGCCGCGUGAGUGAAGAAGGCUUUCGGGUCGUAAAACUCUGUUGUUGGAGAAGAAUGGUCGGCAGAGUAACUGUUGCCGGCGUGACGGUAUCCAACCAGAAAGCCACGGCUAACUACGUGCCAGCAGCCGCGGUAAUACGUAGGUGGCAAGCGUUAUCCGGAUUUAUUGGGCGUAAAGCGAGCGCAGGCGGUUUUUUAAGUCUGAUGUGAAAGCCCUCGGCUUAACCGAGGAAGCGCAUCGGAAACUGGGAAACUUGAGUGCAGAAGAGGACAGUGGAACUCCAUGUGUAGCGGUGAAAUGCGUAGAUAUAUGGAAGAACACCAGUGGCGAAGGCGGCUGUCUGGUCUGUAACUGACGCUGAGGCUCGAAAGCAUGGGUAGCGAACAGGAUUAGAUACCCUGGUAGUCCAUGCCGUAUACGAUGAAUGCUAGGUGUUGGAGGGUUUCCGCCCUUCAGUGCCGCAGCUAACGCAUUAAGCAUUCCG
rnacentral:rRNA from 1 species